CUGUAAUUUCUUGUAAAUAUCAGGGUAAACCAGGCGAUCCAGGAUUUGAUGGGCCUUCUGGUCCUAAAGGAUCUAAAGGAGGGGCAGGUUUAAAUGGACAUCCAGGAUUAGAGGGUCUAAGGGGAAGACCAGGAUCAAAAGGAGAAAAGG